rnacentral:rRNA from 1 species
UACAGAGGUCCCAAGCGUUGUUCGGAUUCAUUGGGCGUAAAGGGUGCGUAGGCGGCGCGGUAAGUCGGGUGUGAAAUCUUGGAGCUUAACUCCGAAACUGCAUUCGAUACUGCGGUGCUUGAGGACUGGAGAGGAGACUGGAAUUCAUGGUGUAGCAGUGAAAUGCGUAGAGAUCAUGAGGAAGACCAGUGGCGAAGGCGGGUCUCUGGACAGUUCCUGACACUGAGACACGAAGGCCAGGGGAGCAAACGGG